UACGGGGGGGGCAAGCGUUGUUCGGAAUUACUGGGCGUAAAGGGCGCGUAGGCGGCCUAUUAAGUCGGACGUGAAAUCCCUCGGCUCAACCGGGGAACUGCGUCCGAUACUGGCAGGCUUGAAUCCGGGAGAGGGAUGUGGAAUUCCAGGUGUAGCGGUGAAAUGCGUAGAUAUCUGGAGGAAUACCGGCGGCGAAGGCGGCAUCCUGGACCGGUAUUGACGCUGAGGCGCGAAAGCUAGGGGAGCAAACGGG
rnacentral:rRNA from 1 species